GCGCUUGCUUGUAUGACACAUAUGUAAAAUUAGAUUCAUGCAUAGAUUAGCAUGGCCCCUGCCCAAGGAUGACAUGUUAAUUCAUGAAGUGUUCCAUAUUUUU
ensembl:snRNA U6 U6 spliceosomal RNA